rnacentral:rRNA from 1 species
UACGUAGGGUGCAAGCGUUGUCCGGAAUUAUUGGGCGUAAAGAGCUCGUAGGCGGUCUGUUGCGUCGGCUGUGAAAACCCGGGGCUCAACCCCGGGCCUGCAGCCGAUACGGGCAGACUAGAGUUCGGCAGGGGAGAGUGGAAUUCCUGGUGUAGCGGUGAAAUGCGUAGAGAUCUGGAGGAACACCGAUGGCGAAGGCAGCCUUCUGGGCCAACACUGACGCUCAUGCACGAAAGCGUGGGGAGCAAACAGG